AGUCGAGCGAUAUUCGGGGGCAACCCUGAUGAAAGCGGCGGACUGGUGAGUAACGCGUGGGUGACCUACCUUGAGGAUGGGGAUAGCUGUUAGAAAUAGCAGGUAAUACCGAAUACGUUCACAAUAUUAUGAUUAUGUGAAGAAAGGAGCUACGGCUCCGCCUUGAGAUGGGCCCGCGUCCCAUUAGCUAGUUGGUGAGGUAAAGGCCCACCAAGGCGAAGAUGGGUAGCCGGCCUGAGAGGGUGAACGGCCACACUGGGACUGAGAUACGGCCCAGACUCCUACGGGAGGCAGCAGCUAAGAAUAUUCCACAAUGGACGAAAGUCUGAUGGAGCGACGCCGCGUGGAUGACGAAGGCCGAAAGGUUGUAAAAUCCUUUUGCGGAUGAAGAAUAAGCGGUGGAGGGAAUGCCAUCGUGAUGACGUUAGUCCGCGAAUAAGCCCCGGCUAAUUACGUGCCAGCAGCCGCGGUAACACGUAAGGGGCAAGCGUUGUUCGGAAUUAUUGGGCGUAAAGGGCGCGUAGGCGGCCGCGUAAGUCUGAUGUGAAAACCCCGGGCUCAACCCGGGAACUGCAUUGGAAACUGUGCGGCUUGAGUCACGGAGGGGAAAUCGGAAUUCCUGGUGUAGGGGUGAAAUCUGUAGAUAUCAGGAAGAACACCGGUGGCGAAGGCGGAUUUCCAGCCGAUGACUGACGCUGAGGCGCGAAAGUGCGGGGAGCAAACAGGAUUAGAUACCCUGGUAGUCCGCACUAUAAACGAUGCACACUAUGUGUCGGGACGAGCGUCUCGGCGCCGGAGCGAACGCGAUAAGUGUGCCGCCUGGGGAGUAUGCCCGCAAGGG
rnacentral:rRNA from 1 species